GCGGUACUAGCUCAGUUGGUAGAGCGUCUCUUGCCAAGAAAGAAGGCCGCCGGUUCGAGACCGGCGUACCGCACCA
rnacentral:tRNA from 1 species